AUUGAACGCUGGCGGCAGGCCUAACACAUGCAAGUCGAGCGGAUGAAGGGAGCUUGCUCCUGGAUUCAGCGGCGGACGGGUGAGUAAUGCCUAGGAAUCUGCCUGGUAGUGGGGGAUAACGUCCGGAAACGGGCGCUAAUACCGCAUACGUCCUGAGGGAGAAAGUGGGGGAUCUUCGGACCUCACGCUAUCAGAUGAUCCUAGGUCGGAUUAGCUAGUUGGCGGGGUAAAGGCCUACCAAGGCGACGAUCCGUAACUGGUCUGAGAGGAUGAUCAGUCACACUGGAACUGAGACACGGUCCAGACUCCUACGGGAGGCAGCAGUGGGGAAUAUUGGACAAUGGGCGAAAGCCUGAUCCAGCCAUGCCGCGUGUGUGAAGAAGGUCUUCGGAUUGUAAAGCACUUUAAGUUGGGAGGAAGGGCAGUAAGUUAAUACCUUGCUGUUUUGACGUUACCAACAGAAUAAGCACCGGCUAACUUCGUG
rnacentral:rRNA from 1 species